CCGAUUCACUCUCCCCUCUCCCUCCCGCUACUCCAGCUUAGUCUCUCCAUUGAAAGGCGCCUCCCUUGCUGUACAGCCACUCCAGCUCCGUCACUCCAUUAACCCAAGUCCCUGGUCGUCCAGAUUUGCGUCCCUCGCCCUCUCCCCACGCGGUUAUUUCUACCGAAGUCGAGCCGCGCUUCGUGAGGGCAGAGUCACCAGAGAGUUUGGAGUAGACCUCAUCUGUAGCGGGGUUCCGACAACCGCCUCUUCUCUCACCGGGCCGCUGCACGUACCAACCGGCGACCGACAGAGUAGAGUUGCACGUACCGACCGGACGUCCGGCAGCCUACUCGGUAGCUGGCUGGUAAGUGCAACGGCCCUAGGAAACGCAUGCUCGGAAGGGUGAGUGGGGACGCACCGGAUCUCGCAUCAGUGUGAGGUAUACUACUUGCUUUCUUCAUGCUCUGAAUCCAACUACUUCAGUUUCGUAUAAUUGCGAGUAGAUCAGUUGCAUGCGCGUCUUUAGCGCCCGUUGUUGGUGAUCCGUCCUAGUAGUAUUUCCUUCUCUUCCAGGAGUAGAUACGGUCGGGGUAGGUUGUUCAGCUAGGGUGUGCAUAUUAUGAAGAUGCAAACUGUCGGUCACCCAACAUAGGUUUUCUUCAGUUCUACACGAAUCACUCGUCUGCUUUGAUCCUUGGUCGUUAAAUCUAGUAAUCUCCAAGAAAACCGUGUGCGCCGAUUAAUUCUACGGCUUGCCUGGCCGAUGCGCGCAUCUUAAUUAGUAUGAUGUACAUGGGAAUUGCUGCAUCCACAUCCACGAUAGAUUUUAGAGAGCUCAUUUUUGUCGUAUGAGCUACUCCCACUGUUUUCUCUACCCUUCUACAGAGUAGAUCUAUAAUUAGAUGCAUUUUGUACGUCUGUAUGCUAAUUCUUGGCUAUCCAUGAUGGAUUACAGUGCUAAUCUGAUCCUGCAAUCCACUUCAAGUCACCAAAAGCUUCCUAUGUUGUGUUCCUCUUUAGGACUGCUCUACCCCUAGGUAGAUAUGUAUUAGACACGCCUUGAUGUGAGAAAGAAAUGAAGAUGGCAUUGUUAUUUAUUUACCUAUCACCACCGUUUCUGUUUGUGCCUUUUGGUAUGUAUGUGGAGAUCUUAAGUCUGAAAUAUUAUGUUUUUCUUCUAGGUUAACUAGCAC
rnacentral:lncRNA from 1 species